UAAUCAAAAUCUACAAUAUUUCCAUAUUAAAAGCUGUGUGAGUGCUGAAGCAUGAGUACAUUUUAGCUUAACUGUAGGAUUUUUCAGCAAGGUUCAACAAACUGAAAGCUGGACAAGAGAGGAAUAAUGAUUGUGGAAAUCCUGAGAAGAAUUCAUUAUCCUACCAGGCAGCUCUGAUGUUGAAAAAAACAAACUGAGAUGCACUUGUGUGAUAUUUUCACAUACAGGAAGUACAGUUCAGUAUUUGUAUUGGCUUCUAAAUUGAUAAUAGUUUGUGUCAUCUAAAGGAAAUCACAUGUAUCAUGCUGUCAUAAAGACCUCUCUGAAUAUGGCUUUUUAGCCCUGUAUGUAUCAUACAAAACCCCAAACCCCUCAGCCAGCUUUUACUCUGAAAACUGCUUAAUUUUUAAGUUCUCCACAAAUUUCCAGAUGGCCAAGAUGUUCUGCUAUUCAUUGUUAAUUUAUUUUAAACUGCUUAUUGGUAGUUUCUGUGUUCUUUGAUUUUGAGAAGAUCCGGUGUAACUAGGGUGGAAAUCUAAGCCACACAAGGCAGAAAACUGGGAUGAAGCUGGAGAAGGAAGAGGAACUUGUCAAAGCCUGUGGAGAAGAAGUGAGGAUAAUUAAUCAGACGAAUGGAGAUAGAGAGCAGGUGUGCAGAGGGAAUAGUCAGAUGGAACAAAAGGCAGUGGAAUGAAAAUGAAUGCCAGAAGAGUUAGAGGAAAUAUUAGCCAAGACUGGUGUGCCCUGAAAACUGAAGAAAUUGUUCUGCAUGCAGAUUUAGCAAGGCAAACUGUCUUCAUUCUUCCCUCUGUCCCUGUGGAUUUAACCAGGAUGCAUGUUUAGGUGCAGUGGGAUCACACCUGUGAUACUUGCAACAGUUUGUGGUCCCUCGGAAGUUCAGUGAGAGUUCUGCAUGGAGGUGGCAAAAGGGAAAAAAUAGUAUAAUUUGGAUCUGAAUGUCAGAAGGUGGGACCUGCUGAAAAGUUUCAUGUUACUUCAUCAGGAUAGCACCUUUCUUUGAAGCAUAAAGGAGAAAAGGAGAAACACUUGGUGCUUGAGAAAGGAUUGAUUCUUCUGUUUUUUCCUGCAAGGCAGAAAAAGUAUCUGUUUCACUACUCGUCAGCUUGGCAGGCAGAAGAAUCUAUGAAGUGCUGAGGCUGUAGAAUUCAGAGGUUGAAGAGAUGGAAGAAUUAGCCAUUUCCUGUCAUUGCAGAGGUUUUCUGCUCACAAGGGAUGAAGAGGUAUUUAUUAUUGACAUACACAUAUAUAUCUAAAAAAACCCAAAACUACCCCAGUUUCUCAAUCCCAGCAGCAGCCUGUCUCCAGCAGAAUGCAACUCAAUGACUUUGUCAGGUUUUGUCCCUUCAACAAGCUAUUUCUGCAUGCUGUGGGAGUGCCUUAGGGAGGAAAGUAGUGAAGCUGUUGUAAAUAUAUAUGCCUGAAUAUGAACAUGAAUUAAGGUGUGAUUAAAUAUGUUGUUUUCUCUAAAUCAAUAA